UACGAAGGGUGCAAACGUUGCUCGGAAUCAUUGGGCGUAAAGCGCACGUAGGCGGCCUUGCAAGUCGGAUGUGAAAUCCCACGGCUCAACCGUGGACGUGCAUCCGAAACUGCUCCGCUCGAGUAUGGAAGAGGGUCGCGGAAUUCCCGGUGUAGAGGUGAAAUUCGUAGAUAUCGGGAGGAACACCAGUGGCGAAGGCGGCGACCUGGGCCAAUACUGACGCUGAGGUGCGAAAGCGUGGGGAGCAAACAGG
rnacentral:rRNA from 1 species